GAGGAAUAUUGGGCAAUGCCCGCAAGGGUGACCCAGCAACGCCGCGUGGAGGAUGAAUGUCGUAAGAUUGUAAACUCCUGUUAGGGGGGAAGAAUAGUACCGGUUGGACCGGUAUAUGACUGUACCCUCAGAGAAAGCCCCGGCUAACUACGUGCCAGCAGCCGCGGUAAUACGUAGGGGGCAAGCGUUGUCCGGAUUUACUGGGUGUAAAGGGUGCGUAGGCGGGUUUCUAAGUCAGAGGUGAAAGCCUGGAGCUCAACUCCAGAACUGCCUUUGAUACUGGAAGUCUUGAGUUCGGGAGAGGUGAGUGGAACUGCGAGUGCAGAGGUGAAAUUCGUAGAUAUUCGCAAGAACACCAGUGGCGAAGGCGGCUCACUGGCCCGAUACUGACGCUGAGGCACGAAAGCGUGGGGAGCAAACA
rnacentral:rRNA from 1 species